rnacentral:rRNA from 1 species
AUUGAACGCUGGCGGCAUGCCUUACACAUGCAAGUCGAACGGCAGCACGGGAGCAAUCCUAGUGGCGAGUGGCGAACGGGUGAGUAAAGUAUCGGAACGUGCCCAGUCGUGGGGGAUAACGUAGCGAAAGUUACGCUAAUACCGCAUACGAUCUAUGGAUGAAAGCGGGGGAUCGCAAGACCUCGCGCGAUUGGAGCGGCCGAUAUCAGAUUAGGUAGUUGGUGGGGUAAAGGCUCACCAAGCCGACGAUCUGUAGCUGGUCUGAGAGGACGACCAGCGACACGGGGAAUGAGACACGGCACAGGCUCCUACGGGAGUCAGCAGUGGGGAAUUUUGGACAGUGAGCGAAAGCCUGAUCAGGCCAUGCCGCGUGCAGGAUGAAGGCCUUCGGGUUGUAAACUGCUUUUGUACGGAACGAAAAGGUUUGGCCUAAUAAGCUGAGCUUAUGACGGUACCGUAAGAAUAAGCACCGGCUAACUACGUGCCAGCCGCCGCCGUAA